CAGUAGCCGCGGGAAUACGGAGGGUGCAAGCGUUAAUCGGAAUUACUGGGCGUAAAGCGCACGCAGGCGGUCUGUCAAGUCAGAUGUGAAAUCCCCGGGCUUAACCUGGGAACUGCAUUUGAAACUGGCAGGCUAGAGUCUUGUAGAGGGGGGUAGAAUUCCAGGUGUAGCGGUGAAAUGCGUAGAGAUCUGGAGGAAUACCGGUGGCGAAGGCGGCCCCCUGGACAAAGACUGACGCUCAGGUGCGAAAGCGUGGGGAGCAAACAGGAUUAGAUACCCCUGUAGUCCCUGUCCCUUAUAC
rnacentral:rRNA from 1 species